AUGUUCUUUGUUGCUCUGCUGGUGCUGCUGGCUGCUGAAUCCUGGGUGAAAUGUGAACAGCUGACUCAGCCAUCGUCUGUGACUCUGCAGCCAGGUCAACCUCUCACCAUCAGCUGUCAGGUCUCUUAUGAUGUGAGCACCUGGACACACUGGAUCAGACAGCCUGCAGGAAAAGGACUGGAGUGGAUUGGUUAUAUGUGCUCUGGAUGCACAGGAGCUCGUAAAGAUUCUUUAAAGAGCAAGUUCAGUAUUGCAGUACAAGCGUCCAGCAAAACAGUGACUCUGAAUGGACAGAAUAUGCAGCCUGAAGACUCUGCUGUGUAUUACUGUGCCAGACAGAAACCAUACACCCGCAGUGAGACGGACAAGCUGCAGAGCUGUACAAAAAUCCCUCAGCCUGCACACACGUCAUAA